rnacentral:rRNA from 1 species
UACAGAGGUCUCAAGCGUUGUUCGGAUUCAUUGGGAGUAAAGGGUGCGUAGGCGGCGCGGUAAGUCGGGUGUGAAAUCUCGGAGCUUAACUCCGAAACUGCAUUCGAUACUGCCGUGCUUGAGGACUGGAGAGGAGACUGGAAUUUACGGUGUAGCGGUGAAAUGCGUAGAUAUCGUAAGGAAGACCAGUGGCGAAGGCGGGUCUCUGGACAGUUCCUGACGCUGAGGCACGAAGGCCAGGGGAGCAAACGGG